AUCUGGAGUUGCUCAAAUGGAGUGGCUGUGGCCAUCUUUCCUUACACGUGGGGAGGAAUCAGCCUGAGAAUGAAACCAUCACAGGAAAGGGCUGAAAGACGGUGAGUGUGUGCUUUCUAAGGGCAGCAUUUGGGCCUUGGCCCCAGCCGGCCCUGAAGCCAGCACAACCCCCGGAACGUCUCAAUUUGUGAGCCAAUAAAUGCCCUUGAUGGUUUAGGCAAGUUUUCACUGGGUCUUACCCGACGUGAGCCCCCACUCCUCCAUAUGGACCUGUUUUGGACCAAUGAGGCAUCCUCUUCUGUAGUCCUCAACACGCGGAGCUCCACCACUCCUGAGCAGUGUGACCUCAGGUGCUUGCUGCAGAGGCAUCGGGGGUCUCUGGCCAGAGGUGACAUCUGAAGCAAUCGGGAUCCUGUUUGGUUUUGCCACAUCCGACCUGCCGCCCAGCUGGGGCAAGACAGCCACGCGCGGCGGAUGCACCGGCCCUGAACUCUUUCUCGAGUAGUCCCCAGAGAUUUCAGGAAGAGAGAGAAGAGGUAAAGAGACCAGAAACAAAGUCUUCUGCAAGCAAAGAACUGCAACAGGCCCCAGCUGUUAGGUUUGAGGGGCGUAUGGGGCAGGCGACUGAACUGCAGAGUUGGAGCCAGAGGUACCAUUGCUGACCCCUGAGCCCAGGAGCCUUGAGAAUACUGACAGUGUUAAUAAUAACUGCAAUCAUCCAACAUAUGAUGCUAGAAUAACUGGACAUCUGUGUGCAAAAAUAUUAAACCUAUACCUUGCACCUUAUCACAAAAUUCACUCAAAAUAGAUCAUAGACCAAAAUGUGAAACAUAAAACUAAGACUUCCAGGGGAAAACAGGAGAAAAUCUUUGUGACUUUGGGGUUAGGCAAAGCUUUUUGCUAAAGACAUUGAUAAGAGAUUGAAAAAACAAGCAGAUUGCCAGAUGAUCUUUGCAAAACAUGUAUCUGAUAAAAGACUUGUAGCCAGAACAUAUAAAGAACUCUCUUUUUUUCUUCGUUGUUCUUUUUUUUUUUUUUUUGAGAUGGAGUCUCACUUUGUCGCCCAAGCUAGAGUGCAGUGGGGCAAUCUCAGCUCACUGCACCCUCUGCCUCCUGGGUUCAAGCAAUUC
rnacentral:lncRNA from 10 species